rnacentral:other from 1 species
GCGAGGCUGUGGCGCGCGUCAGGAGCCAUAGCAUCCCCGGGGCCUUAUCGAUCCUUCAGGGAGCUGUCCCUGGCCGGGCCUGUGGGCCCGGACAUAUGGCGCCCACCUACUUUCGUAGGGAACUCCGGGAUCGAGCGCUUCAACGGCGACUGCGGCUUCGCG